AAAUUAGUUACUGGUAAAUGCGCAGCAUCGAAGUAGAUGCUAAAGUCGGAAGAAAAAAGAGGAUAAGAAACGAAGGCCCCGAGCAAGCACAUACAAGCACGACCAUUUCGUCAACCAUUUUUGUGACGUUGUCACGGCUAUUUCCACAACUGUUUAACUGACAAUGAAUUUGGGUCAGUUUUCGUCCUGUUGACAUUGCUUGUUUUAAUAACAAGAAGAACAGAAAACGACAGCAAACAGAAGCUUAGCUUUCUCCAUGUAACGUUUAUCAGAAAAUGAUCGUUAUCAACUCUUGGCUAUAAAAUUUUUAAUUUACCUGCAGGUGGAUGUCCAGCUUUCAGCUCAGCCGAUUCUUCUACUGCGGACAUUAUUCGAGGUAAAAUUAACGUCGGAAAAAUCACGCUAGCGCUCUCACUUGCAACUCCUGUGUAAAAACGCGAGCAAGGCAACUAGCAACAAACAGGACGUGGACAAAAACAAGCUUCCCUCCUGAGUGCGCGUUGCAGGUUGCAGUGCAUGAUGGGACCAAUACAAGGGCCGGCCGAAAGCAACUGGAGGCGCCGAAGGCUACCGCUACCGCAGCCAUAGCAACCUUCGCUCCCUUCCUUUCUUCCAGCGCUUCGAAUUUCCACUUCCCAUUUUGUCUGAGUGCUUGAAGCUUGAAGUGCUCCAACGAAAACCAAGUGCUGAAACAAACUGAAGCUCCAAACUACAGGCAACAGCUCACCCCCAUGGGGCGAGGGACGCCCCUGCUGUGGUGCACAUGCCGGAUAGAAGACAUCAGAACUGAUCUUGGCAAGAAGUGGAUCCCAAGUGCAGACAUCUUUACUGCUGUUUCCCCCAUGUAGCCAUUUUUGAACACUCAUUCUGCAAGAAAUCAGACAGCCACCUAGCUCACAUGAUACGCAGCAUGGGGACACACAUCAUCAUCAUGGGGACACAUGUGGCAUCAGGCAACCUCACUCAGCAAACUUAUUAGGAUAAUUUAAUUAAGAAGUUCAUAAUUGCAGUCCAGUUAAUUAUCAGAAAUCCUGAAACUUCUUGUUGAAGUAACCCCCAACACUGGAAACUACCUUUUAAAAUUCUGGCCAGCUCAUUUAACUUUUUGAUUUUUGUUAAAGCAGCUGCAAUCUCUUGAAUAUACAUAUUUCAUACAUGGUCA